AAGAUCAAACCAGCUCAAAUUAGAGCAACCCAAGCCUUGAAACUUGGCAUAAACCUUCUCCUCCACGCCCUGAAGCCUCAGCCACCACCCUCAGCCACCAACAAUCACCACAGAGACGGUGGUUAACGGCCAAAAUUCCAGUCACGGCUAAACCUUGCAUAAUCGAGUUCCAGACCAAUCCAUCUCCCAAUUCUUGUUCCAUUAGCUUCCUUAAGUCCAUUAGAGUGUGAACCAACCAAGAACCAAGCUCAAAUUGCCCUGAGAUAGCCCAACUGAGCUCAAGAAGUUCUGAAACUUUGAGCUCUCGGUUCUCCCUCAAAUCUCCAUCAAUUUUGUCGAAUCAAGAGUCUAUUUUGCUUAGAAUUUCACCAGGAAGCUAUUCGUGCAAUAAUUUUGAAGUUUGGAGGUCUAUAUUUCGUUCUGCCAUUGUUGCUGAGCUCCUCACCGGAAAAGCUUCACGGUGCUCAUCGUUUUGGCCAAACCAGAGACCUUUUCAGCUACCCACCUAUACCAUUGAGUUCCUGGGAGUGAGAGGAAGCUUUUCCAAUCGGUUUCCACCCUUAACUCCACCCUUCCGCCGGAAACCGCCGUGCCUCGCCGGAAACCGUCGUCUUCUCCGGCGAGCCACCUCCAAAACAGUGCCAAACUUGGAAAAAGUUAUAUUUUCUGAAUCCUUGCACUGUAAGGAGUUCAUAUAUGCAAUUGGUUUUGGAUUUCACUAAGGUUUGAUACAGUUUCUGAAGGAGAAAAGAUAAUUAUUAAUUGGAGGAUUUUUCCGAAGAAAGGGACGGAGACCGAGGAGAAAGAACUAGAAUGAAAAAGUGACCAAGGCAGGAAGAGCCGUAAAUAGUUGUGAAUAUACGAGAGUGUUCGAGUAGAAUAAAGACCAGCCGAUGGAAGAAGACGUGUGCGACUGGACUCGUACUCUAUCAGACUGUAAAAUAAGUAUGAAAGCAGUGGGUCUUUUUUUGUAAUUAAGUGUGUCAAAGUAAUCGGGAAAGAUUCAGAGGAGUCCAUGCGAGACUCUGGGACGUCUUGUCUAAGGAAAGGAAUUGCUUUUAAUGACGCUUAGCGCGGCUAACUUUCCUGGAGACGUUCUCAGACUAUCAAUUGGACAUCGAUGAAUUCUGACCCAAAGGUCUUGUACUUUAUCAAAGUUCAUCAAUAAAAGUGUUGUUCUCUGAA